CUCAGCACGUUGUCUUGCUUCCUUUCAGAUGCUUCUGUGUUACAUCCAGUCCUUGGCCUAAUGUACGUCCAGUGUGUUUUCUGUUUAGAAAAUCAUCCUGUAUUUAUACAAUGAGUUGCUUUUUAGAAAAUUGCAUGUUCUUCACUUGAUACAAAUGCACAGCUUGAAUCAUUUUACUGACUCUGGUCUUUGGUUUAAAACAGGCUUGCUUGAGAUUUCAGGAGAGGGCAUGAUGUCGCCUUCCACUUUAACCCGCGCUUCAGUGAGAACAACAGGAGAGUCAUUGUUUGCAUUACAAAGCUGGAUAAUAUCUGGGAAAAGGAAGAAAGACAGGCAGUUUUCCCAUUUGAAAGUGGUAAACCAAAAUACAAGUGCUGGUUGAAGCUCACCACUUCAAGGUUGCAGUCAGAGAUGCUCACUUAUUGCAGUACAAUCAUCGGAAGAGAAAUCUCAGAGAAGUCAGCAAACUGUGAAUUUCUGGUGACAUAAAUGUCACCAGUGCUUUGCAUACUAUGAUAUAAUCUUAAAGGGGCAGAUGCUUUUUAAAAAAGUGAAAUUGAAUGUAAACUUUGCACAUUUAAAGGGUUUAUGUACACUAUGAGUGAAAAGUUUUACCUCUAUUCAUCAAUGUCCUACUUGUAAAUCAUCCAUUUAAUAAAUACUGUAAGAGUUA